rnacentral:piRNA from 1 species
UAGCUAGUAAAUUGCUGCUGGAGACAUAGCC